rnacentral:rRNA from 1 species
GCCCUUAGAGUUUGAUCCUGGCUCAGAACGAACGCUGGCGGCAGGCCUAACACAUGCAAGUCGAGCGCACCCUUCGGGGUGAGCGGCGGACGGGUUAGUAACGCGUGGGAAUGUGCCCUUCUCUACGGAAUAGCCUUUGGAAACGAAGNGUAAUACCGUAUACGCCCUUCGGGGGAAAGNUUUAUCAGNGAAGGAUCAGCCCGCGUUAGAUUAGAUAGUUGGUGGGGUAAUGGCCUACCAAGUCUACGAUCUAUAGCUGGUUUUAGAGGAUGAUCAGCAACACUGGGACUGAGACACGGCCCAGACUCCUACGGGAGGCAGCAGUGGGGAAUCUUAGACAAUGGGCGCAAGCCUGAUCUAGCCAUGCCGCGUGAGUGAUGAAGGCCUUAGGGUCGUAAAGCUCUUUCGCCAGAGAUGAUAAUGACAGUAUCUGGUAAAGAAACCCCGGCUAACUCCGUGCCAGCAGCCGCGGUAAUAAGGGCG